rnacentral:misc_RNA from 1 species
GAUGAAGAACGUAGCGAAAUGCGAUAAGUAAUGUGAAUUGCAGAAUUCAGUGAAUCAUCGAAUCUUUGAACGCACAUUACGCCCGCCAGUAUUCUGGCGGGCAUGCCUGUUCGAGCGUCAUUUCAACCCUCAAGACCCCUUCGGGGGACUUGGUGUUGGGGACCGGCACAGGGGCCUGCCUGCUUGUCUUGCAGCGCCCUCGCCGCCCCCGAAAUGAAUUGGCGGCCUCGUCGCGGCCUCCCCUGCGUAGUAGCACAACCUCGCAACGGGAACGUGACGGCGGCCACUGCCGUAAAACAACCCCAAUUUUAUUAGAGUUGACCUCGAAUCAGGUAGGAAUACCCGCUGAACUUAAGCAUAUCAAUAAGCGGAGGA